AGUGAAUAAAAUAAAUUUCACGAAACUUGUUACCAUAAGGUAUAAUUAUUUGAAAUUAGUUAGAACAAGUCUGUGGGAUCCUCAGAUAAAUAGGUUUAAUAGUCAAAAGUGGGAACAGUAGGUAAGAUUAGCAGUAUAGGUGUUUGUCACGUACCUCCAAAAACGGAAAAUUGCCACAAUAUUCGAGUAAAGAUGACAUUUUAGAGCGUUUUCUUAUAUAUUAGUAAAUAUAAAUUUUAGCUAAACAAUAACGAAGUCAAUUUAUUGUUCAGUCAGCGUCAAAUACUUCGUAGCAGUCAAAGUGGCCAAAUAGUUCGGUACACCAUAUAUUUAGUAUGGUGUACCGAACUAUUUGGCCACUUUGACUGCUACGAAGUAUUUGACGCUGACUGUUCAUCUGUACCCCUAGUGUAACUGUGAUCGACAUCAUAACGUGACGAACGCGUUUGCGUUAAGUGUCAUUUUGUAUAGGAUUUUGAGGUUCCAAAACGUCCCGCUUGGCGCGCUCUUUCGAAAUCCAAUACAAAAUGAGACUAAACGCAAACGCGUACGUCACGUUUGGAAAUCGAAUUUAUUUACACUAGGGGUACUGAUUGACAAUGUGUCAGUCAAAAACGUACUUACUCAUUUCAAGUGGCGAUAUCGUUUAAUAAAGAGGUCAAUAAAGAGAUUGAUAAAUGAUACGUGAUAAUUGUUUAUGAAAAUCAAAAAUACUAUUUGAAAUCAUCCUAUAAGUGGUUUGACGUCAUUCGCACUUUUUGUCCGACCCCUGGUCAUGAUGAAGAAUGAUUCUUCAUCGCUGGUUAGUUUUACGAAUUUGUUCAAAUUCUUCCGGUAAGCAAAUGGUCGUGUACCAAUGGAAUGUAUCCGUUUUAAGGUUUUCUAAUGGCACUCAAGCUACAUGGCCAUUAAUACCGAAGAAGCAGGCCACCAUUUGUUUCAAUGUACUUUUUGCACAAGUAACUUUCGUAGGGUUCGGCUCAUUUUGAAACACCCAUACCGUUGAUUGUUGCUUCGUUUCGGGAUCGUAUGCAUAGAUCCAGGAUUCGUCACCUGUAUAGAUGUUAUAAACGGCCUUUGAGUCACCACGGUUAUAUUUUUUUAACAUUUUAUUGCACCAUUCGACGCGAGCAUCUUUUUGCUCCUUAGUUAAGUUGUGCGGUAUCCAACGCGAACAAAUUUUUUUUACAGCUAAAUGAUCAUGUAAUAUGCUAUUAAUGCUAGUCAUAUAAAUACCCAGAGUCGCCUCUAUCUCGCGGUACGUAACAUGUCGGUCGUCCAUUAUAAGUUUUCGCACAGCCUUAAUAUUUUGUGGUACAACGACCGAUUUCGGGCGACCUGCCUUAACUUCGUCCGUAAGCAUACUACGUCCACGAUUGAACUCACUAAACCAGUGAUACACAGUAGUUUUAGAUGGAGCUUCAUCACCAAAAGUUGAAGUUAGUUGAUCUAUGCACUAUUGUUGCGUUAAACCACACCGAAAAUCAUAAUAAAUCAUAGCAUGAAUAUUUUCAUGAGUGAGUUCCUUUCUUGCAGCGAGAUGACAUUUAAAACCCGUCAAAAACAAAACACUAGCGUUAAUAAGAAAGAAAAAAUAUACCGGCCAGUACUUGAAAAAGUUCAAAUUUUACCAUGGAGGUCAAAUAUACUAUUUAAGAAGAUUGUAAUCCCGGUUUCCGGGUAUAUAAAUAGCAGCCCUCGUAUAGGGGUCUCGGCCCCGAAUACGAUUUCGUACCUUUUGGCGUCGAGACCCUUGGCCCGUGGGGUCCGAAUGCAUUUACACUAUUUAAGGAAUUAGCCAAAAAAAUAGCAGACGCUACCGGCGAUCGUAGAGCUGGCAGCUUCCUCGCACAGAGAAUAAGUAUUGCGAUACAACGAGGAAAUGCUGCCAGCAUCUAUGGCACCAUGCCGCAGGGGUAUAGUUUUUAAUUAUUUAUUUUUAGAUUUUAAGUUUUAUAUGUAUUAUGUUGUUGUGUUUGUACCGAAUAAGUUAUUAUAAUAUGUAAUUUUAUCAGAUUUUAUUAAUAACAUUAAAUAUUCAUAAUCAUACACAAAAAAAUAUUUAUAAACGUCACUAUUUUAAAAGUUAAUUUAAUGUAUACCUACGUACUAAAAAAAACAUGCCCAAUAUGCGCCAUGGUCAUGGGCGUAAUGAAAUUUAAGAAAAUCUAUUACGCCCGUAGGCAUAAUAUAGCUCAUUCCAUCUCAGUAUGGUAUAAUAACACCGGUUACGAGCAAGUGUGAUGAAAUAGUACAUUACGAUACAAGUGCGAAAAAUAGGAAAUUCGAAACGAGUUGCGAAUUACCUAUUCGCACAUGUAUCGUACAACGUUUUACAGUACAUAUGGCCCUUUAAAUGUUCGGCACAGUAACGUAAUAUGCUAAUUUUCGCACUAGUGCGCUAAAGUACCACCAUAUGUACUGUAAAUAUUAUUAAACGAAAGCAAGAUACUUAAUAAUAAGGGGUACAAUUUUUCAUAAAGAGGUUUAUGUCGUUCUCUUGGAUAACGGACGUACGUAAACUGAUCUUUAUAGGCACAACAUGUCAUAAGUAAACUUAAGUUCCUGCGUAUGGCAAAUAUGUUACUGGCAAAAACGAGUGCUCAGUACCCCUAGUGUAAAUAUUUUCGACAGCGAAACGUGACGUACGCGUUUGCGUUAAGUGUCAUUUUGUAUGAGAUUUUUGACUUUCCAAAACGUUCCGCUUGGCGCGCUGUUCAAAAACCCAUACAAAAUGAGACGCAAACGCGUACGUCACGUUUCGCUAUCGACUAAAUUUACACUAGGGGUACAGUUCUUUUCGUUGACACUGUUGUUUCUUUACUAAUUACGUCUGUAUGUACAUUUGUGCCGUUUUCAACCAAAAGGGUACUUAGUGUCGUUUGUCAAUAAGGCGCUAUUUCCAUAAAGCUUCAAUUUGAAAACGUCACAUUUACAGAAUAUAACAAUAAUAGCGGGGAUCCGUUUAAGGGCAUGCUACUAGUUUUUCCUUAUCAGGACCCACUAUUUUUGUUACACCAUGUAUACUCCACUAAGCUAUGAGUACAAAAAAUGGCUUCCAAAACAGUUAAAACCCUGGCAGUUUAAAACUGCAUAAAUUUAUAUUCCCGUCCUUAGCUGUGAAUAUAAACCAAUAAACAAUUUUCCCUUAAAAUCCACUAUCAAAAAAGUCCUGAUUAGUCAAUAUUAUCAAACUAUGGAGGGUAGAGGUAUGUCAAACCUUUUGAAUAUGGAAGGUAGAGUUAAGGAACAGAAUCUCCAUAUACCAAAAAGUGUCCGACAAAAAACCAUAAAUGGUGGCACUACAAUACCUAGAAUACUUCAGAAAAAAAUCUAAUCCUAGACAGCGCACUUCACUCCGUCAAUGACGCCUAGGUUCUUAGCUACUCUGGAGAGAUUUGGAACUAUUAUUUAUAGCUGACAGCUGGACACUUUUGCAAUAGUUCUGCCUAUGGAGAUUCUAUUCCUUGCCUCUACCUGCCAUACUUUUGAGCGGGAUUACAAUACUUCGCAUUCUCAAACUGCGCGCUGUACCGUUGAGUCGCUCGUGACACAAUAUACGUGGGGUCAUUUUUAAACUCUAUUGAUAGUGUCAUUCACGAAGACGCGUGCCUUAACUCUUAUUGUCAUGUUAUUACUUUAGAUUUGACAAAUCUGCGCGUCAUCGUGGAUGACAUGAACAGUCAUUUCUAUAGUUGUUCUAGUUCGUUGUUUAUAUAUGUUUGCGUUGUUUGUACACACAGUGCCCUGACGUCAUAGAAUGUUUUUACUGUCUGACAUAAAGGUAAAAUGAAAUGUAAUACAAAGCUUUAAAUAAAAAAAGUUUGCCAUGAUUUGAAAGCUUGUUUUAUACGGAUCAAAACGUAAUAUAAUUAGUUUAAAAUUUAGAUCGCGAUUUCAUUUACUACUGAUAUUCGUUAGAUGCGAAUACGCGUCUGGAUAGUGAAAAUUUUUACUUUAAAAAAAGGUAGUAUAAAUCAGUAUCACAUUAAUAAAAUAGGCACAAUUGUUUGUAUGUAUGAACCUAAUUUGUUAGAACGUUAUUUUAUCACCAGCAUUUAGUUCUCCACGUAUCGUGAACUUCGUAGUUAAUAUUGUGCAACAUAGAUGACAAGUAUGACGAUGUGUCAUCUUAUUUAUCACUCGUUUUUGCGAAAAACGUCUAGGUAAUAUAUAGCCAGGAUUAAUCUCACUUUAUCGUGAAGUAUACAGAUGUCCCUUAUCCAAUGAGACACAUUUAGCAUCGUAUAUAAUAAUUUACGAAGUCUUUAGUUUUAAAUAUGUCUCGAUACCAUCAAUAGUCUGUUAACCAGUAGAGAAAUGCUGGUUUAUAGACUAAAACAAAAAUGUACGUUAAAUUGACACUGCCAAAAUAUCAUUGGAAACUGAUCUAAGUAAAUAUUAAAUUAAUUUUACUGUUUACACUCACUGUGUCACUCGCGCGACAUGUUUCGGAGAGCCUAGGUCUCCUUUCUCAAGCCCUAACAGUGCGAGCAGCGUUCACGACAGCCGUGCUCCGCGCGAGACAGCAGACCUAGGCUAUCCGAAACAUAUCGCGCGAGUGUCUAAAAACGCGUGAGUGUAAACCGUAAAAUUAGGUUAAUGUUAGUAUGUCUCACGACAGUUUAGAAUCGGAUAUAGAUAUAUUUAUAUUAGUAGUGGGCAUUUUAAUGGGAAUGGUGUUGAAAUAUAUCCAUAAGUUGAAGCGUUACCUCUAGAUUGAUAAUUCGAAUCGUAUUGAUAUCAUUAAGCACCACAUCCAUUGAGAUGUUCUUGUGGCAUACAUUAGUACUGCACCAUAAAGCCUUAGUAUGUGAGGGACAGACUGAACGUUUUUAGAAUAAACUAGAGUAAUUAGGCAGGAACUAUUUUUAUAAUGCUUAAAUAACCUUUCCACAUGUCUUUAUGGAAUUGUCAGAAAGAUAAAAUUCAACAACUCUAAAAUGAAGGGCUUAACUCCAUCUGGCCAUUUGUAUACUUUUUCCUUGAAGGUAGAACCAUCCUAAGUAUUCUAUUGUUAGUUAAUUCGGGGCGUCCUUGUUGAAUACCAUCCUUGUGAUGAGUUCCUUGUCAUCCUUGAGAUGAAAGGGGACAAAGAAUGGUAGACCGCUCCUACAUACAAACGUAGUCCCCAUUUUCCUAUUACAUGGUUUCUAAGUGGCCCAUUCUAAAAACAGUCAGUCUACAUAUGUGACCGCGGCCGGCAAAACGUUCCACUUUGUCGCUUGCCAUAAGGACGUCUUGACAGGUCAUUUGUAUAAACUUAUGACAAGCGACAAAGUGGGACGGUUUGCCGGCCGCGGUGACAUAUGAAUAUGCAAUAAUAUUUAGAAUAGACGUAAUUAUAUUUAAAUAAUGUUUUUGUUUACAUGUGCUGUACAUCAAAAUAAGCAUUGGGCUUUUUAAAGAAUCUGCCUUAGAUAACAUUAAGUACGAGGGCUGAUCCGAAAGUUGUUAGUUGCUCCGGCUCUACUCAUGCGUUUAAAAUUUUAUUUAUACUAUUGUGAGGGAUUUUUCAGUACUUAUUAAAGUGGUGUAAAUACAUUUUUAGAAAACUCUUAUUUUUGUUUUUAUUUUAUUUUUACUUCGACGCGUCGAAGCCUAACCAUCAGUCAUGAAAAUCAGUAGUUGAGACUCCAUAUGUGCUGUCAUUUUAUAGACAGUUUUUGUUAAAAAAAAAAAAGGUUUUAAGGUGCUACUAAUGCCGAAUCUCGACCGUUCUUUUACGUAUAUAUCGUUUUGAUUGAGUAAAUAUUAUUAUGAUUUAAUAGGUGUGUCAACAAUGAGUCCUUUCAUUAAAAGUAAAAAAUUCUGAUAUUUAAAUAUGCAUAUAAGAUUAUUUAUUGAUUUAUACAUUGGAAAUAGCAGAUGUAAGAUAAUAAUUAGUCCCGGGUAAAUUUAAGUUCGAUUUUCAAAGAUUUCAAUACGAAAUUAAUUUAAUUGUGCCCAAAAUUGCCGUUUUUCUAAGCAAUUCGUAACUCCAUACAGCUUUCAGUUAAAAAUAUAUAAUAAAAAAACUAUUUGCAUUUAUUAAAAAAAAAUCUGGCCUUAAGUAGCAUUGAAAUAUCCCUCAAUAGUAUAAAUCAUUAUUUUAUCGCAUGAGUAGAGCCGGAGUUAUGGCAAUGUGGAAAGGCGAAUGCCUAUAAGGGAUCUCUUCCAGUCAACCUUUGAGCAAAUGAGAAUCAAAAAUUAAAGUAUGAAAGACAAACGACCGAUAACAGUAUUUUUGAAAAGUUUUCACUAAGAUACUGAUGCAUGAAGGCGGUUUGUUUACAGAGAGCCUUCCGCAAAACGCGAAAAUGGAAACUUCGUUAUCUGCCUCUCUUUCGCUCGAAUUUGCAAGAGUGAUAUAAAUGGUGUUUGUCGGUAGGUCCUCAGUUUGUUUUAGUAGCGCUCUCAACGCAGAGUUUUGUGUAAUAUUCCUUAUUAAAGCCCGAAAUAUCGAAGUAUUCUAUUUGACCGAUUAUAGUGCGUGUCAUUCACGAUGACACGCAAAUUUGACAAAUCUUACGUUUAAUAACAUGUCGAUACGAGUCAAGGCACGCGUCUUCGUGAAUGACACAAUCUUGCUGUCACUACAACCUGUAUGGCAGUAAUGUGCAGGUACGUCAUGUGUAGUCAAAUAAAGUGUCAGUACCGGUCAUGUCAACGAAAAAUUGAAAACAUUGUUCAUUGGAAUGCUACGCUCCUUUUAUUGAUGUAAAUGUUUUAUUGUAUUCAAAAUAUUGUUUCUUACACCUUCUUUUUCUCGACAAUCUUUUUCGGCAUAUUGGUGGUAAAAUCGUUUAUGAUUGCGAAAUCUUUUCUUCUUGUUUUACAUCGGUAAUAUUCGGUGACUUUCGACUAUUUCAAAAAGUCUCCUUGCCAAUCAUACACCUUAGUAUUAUAUGGAUGUGUCAUACGCGUGCGCCCGUGAGGGACAGAACAUACGCAUUGCGACUUAAUUGAAAACACGUUUUAACAUUCCCGACAACAUACCAACAACAACCUACGUAUUUUGGUCGGGGUCAUUGUUACCCACCAUAAAAACGGUGGGAAACAAAAAAUUAGAAGUAGGCAGAAAGGAAAAGUGAGACUAUGACAAGGACACACAAUAAUAGCGCUUUCUCUGCUACUCUUACUGAAAGUUCCAUAAGAGCAUCUAGUUCGAUCAUUUCCCCCCUCCCCCAUUUCAUCUCUAUAUUCUUCUUUCUCGUGGUCGUGGUCGUCAUGCCAGGGCCGGCAGCAAGCUUCACAAUCCGUCGCCAUUCUUAACGUACUUUAGGGUUUGUUAUAUUAUGGUACCUCUAUGUUGCCAGUAAAAUAAAUUACCACCACCAAAUGCUAAAUAAAAGCUUGUCAGGGUAUAGGUGAAAAUCAUUGUUAUUUUGUGAACCUGACUACUGGCAGUCACAUUCACCAAAUAAUAUUUAUGUUCAGUAAGUACAAUGUUUUGUUUUUUGUUAUACUAUCGUCUAAUGUAAAUUCUCGCUAUAUACCGCGAUAAGUAAAAAAAAAAAAAACGAUUUUAAAAUAAAAGAAAAGCUAAUAUCUUCUCGUGGUAGUGUUUUAACCUUUUUAGUCUGAUAUAAAAGACAGAGUAUCUAGCUCAUUUCGCCGCACUUCGUGUAACUUCGUACCCGUCCCCGUACAGGUACCCGCGGCGACACUAGCACGCUCGAUGAAAAAUUCCAAGCGGUUAAAAGGUUAAUUACUAUGAGCAUUAGGUAUGUAUUAUGAAUGACUAGGUUUUGUAUCAAAAUCAGAAACGAUAUUUAAACUUGCAAAAACAAAACCUUGUUGUCAUUUUAUGUUUAUGCGUUAAGUAGUACAUAUCGAGAGAAUUAUCAACGUUUCGUUAUCAAGUUAUAUUAUAAGAACACCGAAUAGCGUAAACUACCCUAUAGACGGCGCGUAACCAAUGGUUGGCACCUUCAACCAUAUUUUAAGGCAGCAGUGCUGACUUUAAAAAUAGGCGCCUAUAGCAGGUACUCGUCAGCACCUCAGUGCCAAUCAUUGGAUGUUUUACCCUGUUGUAUCUCGACAAGAAUGUAAAAGAAACUCACUGUCAAAUGUAGCUUUAACAAUAUUUCAAAUAAAUCAGUCUAUGGA